UAAAACUCAAAGGAAAUUGACGGGGACCCCGCACAAGCGGUGGGAUGAUGUGGGAUUAAUUCGAUGCUACGCGAAAAAACCUUACCUACCCUUGACAUGUCUGGAAUCCCGAAGAGAUUUGGGAGUGCUCGCAAGAGAACCGGAACACAGGUGCUGCAUGGCUGUCGUCAGCUCGUGUCGUGAGAUGUUGGGUUAAGUCCCGCAACGAGCGCAACCCUUGUCAUUAGUUGCUACGAAAGGGCACUCUAAUGAGACUGCCGGUGACAAACCGGAGGAAGGUGGGGAUGACGUCAAGUCCUCAUGGCCCUUAUGGGUAGGGCUUCACACGUCAUACAAUGGUCGGGACAGAGGGUCGCCAACCCGCGAGGGGGAGCCAAUCCCAGAAACCCGAUCGUAGUCCGGAUCGCAGUCUGCAACUCGACUGCGUGAAGUCGGAAUCGCUAGUAAUCGCGGAUCAGCAUGUAGCGGUGAAUAGGUAGCUGGAUCUUGUUCCCUCCCCAGUUAGCCCUAGCAAGGUAGAGUUUGAUCCAUACUCAGUAAGUCGCAAGCAAGGUAGCCGUAAC
rnacentral:rRNA from 1 species